UAUUAUUAUUAUUUCUCACUUGUUUCUUUUUCUUUUUCUUUUAUGUUAUUUGUAUUAUUUUUGGUUGUACAAUAAAGUAUAUUUGUAUUGUCGACGAAAAAAGCGUCAAGUAAAAACGCAUUAUUAGAUAUAACUCGAAAAGUAGUUGUUAGAUCUCAAAUAAAUUUAAAUGGGAACAAUUGGCACACACUACCUUUCGAUUAAAACAAAAUUUGUCGAAAUCGGUCUACCCGGUCAAAAGUUCUGAUGUAACAUCCAU
rnacentral:misc_RNA from 1 species